GACGAACGCUGGCGGCGUGCUUAACACAUGCAAGUCGAACGGAAGGCCCUGCUUUUGUGGGGUGCUCGAGUGGCGAACGGGUGAGUAACACGUGAGUAACCUGCCCUUGACUUUGGGAUAACUUCAGGAAACUGGGGCUAAUACCGGAUAGGAGCUCCUGCUGCCUGGUGGGGGUUGGAAAGUUUCGGCGGUUGGGGAUGGACUCGCGGCUUAUCAGCUUGUUGGUGGGGUAGUGGCUUACCAAGGCUUUGACGGGUAGCCGGCCUGAGAGGGUGACCGGCCACAUUGGGACUGAGAUACGGCCCAGACUCCUACGGGAGGCAGCAGUGGGGAAUAUUGCACAAUGGGCGGAAGCCUGAUGCAGCAACGCCGCGUGCGGGAUGACGGCCUUCGGGUUGUAAACCGCUUUCGCCUGUGACGAAGCGUGAGUGACGGUAAUGGGUAAAGAAGCACCGGCUAACUACGUG
rnacentral:rRNA from 1 species